UGUAUAUCACCCAGUAUAAUACUGCAAAUUCCCUUUACAGUAAAUAACUGUAAUUCCCUUUGCAUCAUUGGAAUUUUCUGUGACGUCAGACCCCACAUACAGAGACUUACUGUAUUUUUUUUUUAAUUGCUGUAUACUACUGUAACGGUCUCUUUGGCGCCAUUAUACUGAGGUCGUUUUAUUUUCCUCAUUUCUUACAUUUGGACUGACACAAUUUGCCCUACACCGUGUCUACACCGCCGCAACAGCUUGAGACUGACUACUGGAUGUGUUACAUCGCUUCUAAUGAUUGGAAAAUCCGUUUGUACUUCGUGUCAGAAACAGCGCGAGGCUUGGAGUACAUCUGUACAUCAGAAAUAUACCGGGGCAUCACAUUACUGUCCGCAUCCACUGUAGAUAAUAUAUAUAAUGGGUUCUAUAUUGUUUUUUAUCGAGUCGCGCCUCGCCGCGCUACUCGCGUCCGAGGAAGACACGGAAGCAGCGGGCAGCGUCGCGGGUUUUUCCCGGGGAUGAACCCGCGAGAGUGGGAGAGCUCUGGAGAACAUCUGUGCUGUGUGUCGAUGCACCUUACGAGAGAAAAAGACCAGCAAGCAAGGCAACUGCAAUGAAGCAUCAAGAAAGACAUGGACAUGCCAGCCACCCUGAGGCUGAUAAUUCAUGAGAAGACAUUUCUGUCAAAGUGGAUGGUGAGCAAAGAUGGUGGCCACGUUUUGGAGCAGCACCUGGGUUUUGCAGAUGGCUAUGUAUUCUUUGGCUGCUUGUCUUUAUGUUUCUGUUGCCUAAAGAUUCUUUGUGAGGAUAAAUCACAACAAAAUGCACUGCAAAGCGUCCUAAGACAGGAGAAAUGGUGAAGAUGCACUGUUCCAGAGUUGGAAG